CCUACGGGUGGCUGCAGUAAGGAAUAUUGGUCAAUGGAGGAAACUCUGAACCAGCCAUCCCGCGUGAAGGAUGAAGGGGCUCUGCCUUGUAAACUUCUUUUGUCUGGGGCGAAAAAGCUCGAUUUAUCGAGAACUGACGGUACCAGAAGAAUAAGCACCGGCUAACUCCGUGCCAGCAGCCGCGGUACUACGGCGGGUGCAAGCGUUAUCCGGAAUCACUGGGGUGAAGGGGUGUUUGGACGGCUUAGUUGGAAGGCUGUGGCUUAAACAUGGAAGUGCCAUUGAUACUGCAGAGCUUGAAUGAGGUUGAGGUUGGCGGAAUGUGACAUGUAGCGGUGAAAUGCUUAGAUAUGUCAUGGAACACCGAUUGCGAAGGCAGCUGACUGGACCUAUAUUGACGCUGAGGCACGAAAGCGUGGGGAGCGAACAGGAUUAGAUACCCUUGUAGUC
rnacentral:rRNA from 1 species